AUACGGAGGACGCGAGCGUUAUCCGGAUUCAUUGGGUUUAAAGGGUGCGCAGGCGGCCAUGCAAGUCAGCGGUGAAAGCCCGGGGCCCAACCCCGGAAGUGCCGUUGAUACUGCAUGGCUUGAAUGCGGUCGAGGCGGGCGGAACGUGGGGUGUAGCGGGGAAAUGCGUAGAUAUGCCACAGAAAGCCGAUAGCGGAGGCAGCUCGCCAGGCCUGCAUUGACGCUCGGGCACGAAAGCGUGGGGAUCGAACAGGAUUAGAUCCCCUGGGAGUCCACGCCGUAAACGAUGGGCGCUCGUCGUCGGCGGCAGACAGUCGGCGGCCAAGCGAAAGCGAUAAGCGCCCCACCUGGGGAGUACGGUCGCAAGGCUGAAACUCAAAUGAAUUGACGGGG
rnacentral:rRNA from 1 species